CUCUUUUUGAAAAUAAUUUAAAGUUGGGCCUGCCCACUGAUUAAUUGAAGGGCCGCAGUAUUUUGACUGUGCAAAGGUAGCAUAAUCAUUAGUUUUUUAAUUGAAAGCUUGUAUGAAUGGUUUGAUGAGAAAAUUUCUGUCUCAAUAUUAAUUUUUUAGAAUUUUAUUUUUAAGUUAAAAAGCUUAAAUUUAAUAAAAAGACGAGAAGACCCUAUAGAGUUUAACUUUAAAAAUUUUAUUUUUAUUUAGGGAUUUUAUAUAAUAAUAAUUUUUUUUAGUUGGGUUGGGGUGACGGAAAAAUUUAUUAAACUUUUUUUUUAUAAAACCAUUAAUUUAUGAAUUUUUGAUCCAUAAAAAUGAUUAAAAGAAAAAAUUACCUUAGGGAUAACAGCGUAAUUUUUUUAAAAAGUUCUUAUUUAAAAAAAAGAUUGCGACCUCGAUGUUGGAUUAAAAUUUAAUUUUGGUGUAGAAGCUAAAAUUUUAGGUCUGUUCGACCUUUGAAAUUUUACAUGAUCUGAGUUUAAACCGGUGUAAGCCAGGUUGGUUUCUAUCUUUUAUAUAAUUAAAUAUUUUAGUACGAAAGGAUCAAAUAUUUUAUUAAUAAUAUUUAAAAUGAAUAAAAUUUUUAUUUUGGCAGAAUAGUGCGAUAGAUUUAGAAUCUUUUUAUGUAUAAAUUACAAAUAAAAAUUGAUUUAAUUUUAAUAUUUUUAAAUUUUUUUAUUUUAUUUAUUGGAGUAUUAGUAGGAGUGGCUUUUUUAACUUUGUUAGAACGAAAACUUUU
rnacentral:rRNA from 1 species